rnacentral:RNase_P_RNA from 1 species
UCUGCCACGUAGCUAACCGCUGGUCUGUAAAAAGACGAGAGGAAAGUCCGGGCGGCAUAGGGCAAGUCAGUUGCUAACGGCAACCAAGAGUAAUCUUAGGGAAAGUGCCACAGAAACGACACAGCCGAAGUCCGUAAAAGGGCUGGCUAUGGUGAAAAGAGUGGGGUAAGAGCCCACAGGUUCUGCAGGUGACUGCGGAGCGAGGUAAACCCUGACUGCUGCAAGGAGGUAUAUCAACAAUAGGUGCCCGCCGUUGGUAUAUCAUAAGAUCCGCUUGAUCCGCCGAGCAAUCGGCGGGCUAGAUAGAUGGUUAGCCGCUUGGUAAAACAAGUGACAGAACCCGGCUUAUAGCGUGACAGACAAC